rnacentral:rRNA from 1 species
UGGCGGCGUGCUUAACACAUGCAAGUCGAACGGGAUCCAUCAAGCUUGCUUGGUGGUGAGAGUGGCGAACGGGUGAGUAAUGCGUGACCAACCUGCCCUGUACUCUGGAAUAGCUCCUGGAAACGGGUGGUAAUGCCGGAUGCUCCACAUGGGUGCAUGCCUGUGUGGGAAAGGGUUUACCGGUAUGGGAUGGGGUCGCGUCCUAUCAGCUUGACGGCGGGGUAAUGGCCCACCGUGGCUUUGACGGGUAGCCGGCCUGAGAGGGCGACCGGCCACAUUGGGACUGAGAUACGGCCCAGACUCCUACGGGAGGCAGCAGUGGGGAAUAUUGCACAAUGGGGGGAACCCUGAUGCAGCGACGCCGCGUGCGGGAUGACGGCCUUCGGGUUGUAAACCGCUUUUGAUUGGGAGCAAGCGUUAAGUGAGUGUACCUUUCGAAUAAGCGCCGGCUAACUACGUGCCAGCAGCCGCGGUAAUACGUAGGGCGCAAGCGUUGUCCGGAAUUAUUGGGCGUAAAGGGCUCGUAGGCGGCUCGUCGCGUCUGGUGUGAAAGUCCAUCGCUUAACGGUGGAUCUGCGCCGGGUACGGGCGGGCUGGAGUGCGGUAGGGGAGACUGGAAUUCCCGGUGUAACGGUGGAAUGUGUAGAUAUCGGGAGGAACACCAAUGGCGAAGGCAGGUCUCUGGGCCGUUACUGACGCUGAGGAGCGAAAGCGUGGGGAGCGAACAGGAUUAGAUACCCUGGUAGUCCACGCCGUAAACGGUGGACGCUGGAUGUGGGGCCCAUUCCACGGGUUCCGUGUCGGAGCUAACGCGUUAAGCGUCCCGCCUGGGGAGUACGGCCGCAAGGCUAAAACUCAAAGAAAUUGACGGGGGCCCGCACAAGCGGCGGAGCAUGCGGAUUAAUUCGAUGCAACGCGAAGAACCUUACCUGGGCUUGACAUGUUCCCGGCGACAUCAGAGAUGGUGUUUCCCUUCGGGGCGGGUUCACAGGUGGUGCAUGGUCGUCGUCAGCUCGUGUCGUGAGAUGUUGGGUUAAGUCCCGCUACGAGCGCAACCCUCGCCCCGUGUUGCCAGCACGUCAUGGUGGGAACUCACGGGGGACCGCCGGGGUUAACUCGGAGGAAGGUGGGGAUG